GUGUACCUACGGGAGGCAGCAGUAGGGAAUCUUCCACAAUGGACGAAAGUCUGAUGGAGCAACGCCGCGUGAGUGAAGAAGGGUUUCGGCUCGUAAAGCUCUGUUGGUAGUGAAGAAGGAUGGAGGGAGUAACUGGCCUUUAUUUGACGGUAAUUACUUAGAAAGUCACGGCUAACUACGUGCCAGCAGCCGCGGGAAUACGUAGGGGGCAAGCGUUGUCCGGAUUUAUUGGGCGUAAAGC
rnacentral:rRNA from 1 species